rnacentral:lncRNA from 1 species
UGGUCUCAAGGAUCCUAGCUGCCAGUAAGGGUCCUUCCUCAACAGAGAUGGCUGAGAGGCCCUGCAGCAUGUGGGACUUACUACUGGGCUUGGAGUCGAGGUGUCCCAGGUCAGCUUAAUUUUGGGAAAAGCUGGUGAGAAGCUUGGUCCAAAUCACCUGAAAAGAAAAUCACUUGCAUAGUUCACCUGAAGAACGGAUCUCUAUAAUGGAA